CGAACGCUGGCGGCGUGCUUAACACAUGCAAGUCGAGCGAUGAAGCACCUUCGGGUGUGAAUUAGCGGCGAACGGGUGAGGAACACGUGAGAAAUCUGCCUUCAACUCUGGGAUAACUCCGUGAAAACGGGGCUAAUACCGGAUAUGAAACCUUCAGGCAUCUGAGGGUUUGGAAAGUUUUUCGGUUGAAGAUGAUCUCGCGGCCUAUCAGCUUGUUGGUGAGGUAAUGGCUCACCAAGGCAACGACGGGUAGCCGGCCUGAGAGGGCGACCGGCCACACUGGGACUGAGACACGGCCCAGACUCCUACGGGAGGCAGCAGUGGGGAAUCUUGCGCAAUGGGCGAAAGCCUGACGCAGCAACGCCGCGUGCGGGAAGAAGGCUUUCGGGCUGUAAACCGCUUUCAGCAGGAACGAAAAUGACGGUACCUGCAGAAGAAGGAGCGGCCAACUAUGUGCCAGCAGCCGCGGUAAUCUGAUGGCGCGAGG
rnacentral:rRNA from 1 species